rnacentral:rRNA from 1 species
UACGGAGGGUGCAAACGUUGCUCGGAAUCAUUGGGCGUAAAGCGAACGUAGGCGGCUUUGUAAGUCGGGUGUGAAAGCCCUCGGCUCAACCGAGGAAGUGCAUUCGAAACUGCAUGGCUUGAGUGUCGGAGAGGAUAGCGGAAUUCCAGGUGUAGCGGUGAAAUGCGUAGAUAUCUGGAGGAACACCGGUGGCGAAGGCGGCAUCCUGGACCGACACUGACGCUGAGGAGCGAAAGCCAGGGGAGCAAACGGG